rnacentral:misc_RNA from 1 species
GCGGGAGGCGGCGGACUGGAGGCGGGAGUUGGAGGCGGCGAGGGCGGAUUUGAGGGCGUCGGCAUCGGAGAGGAGGGAGCGGAGGUCGUCGACGGCGCGGAUGAAGUCCUGGUAGUGGAUCUUGCAGACUUCUUCGAUUUCGGAUUCUUUGGAGCUGGCGAAUUGGCGGAGGUGGUGGAUGAGGGGCUCGGGGCGGGCAGAGGCGAAGGCUUUGCG